UCCCUGGUAGUAUAUCGGUUAGUACACGCGCUUGUCAUUAUGUAUCUGGCUCAUGUCUCUUGAGCGCGCGAAAGCUGGGUUCGACUCCCAGCCAGGGAG